rnacentral:rRNA from 1 species
AUUGAACGCUGGCGGCAGGCUUAACACAUGCAAGUCGAGCGGGGUGAUGGUGCUUGCACUAUCACUUAGCGGCGGACGGGUGAGUAAUGCUUAGGAAUCUGCCUAUUAGUGGGGGACAACAUCUCGAAAGGGAUGCUAAUACCGCAUACGUCCUACGAGAGAAAGCAGGGGAUCACUAGUGACCUUGCGCUAAUAGAUGAGACUAAGUCGGAUUAGCUAGUUGGUGGGGUAAAGGCCUACCAAGGCGACGAUCUGUAGCGGGUCUGGGAGGAUGAUCCGCCACACUGGGACUGAGACACGGCCCAGACUCCUACGGGAGGCAGCAGUGGGGAAUAUUGGACAAUGGGGGGAACCCUGAUCCAGCCAUGCCGCGUGUGUGAAGAAGGCCUUAUGGUUGUAAAGCACUUUAAGCGAGGAGGAGGCUCUUUUGGUUAAUACCCAAGAUGAGUGGACGUUACUCGCAGAAUAAGCACCGGCUAACUCUGUGCCAGCAGCCGCCGUAA